UACGUAGGGUGCAAGCGUUAUCCGGAAUUAUUGGGCGUAAAGAGCUCGUAGGCGGUUUGUCGCGUCUGCUGUGAAAACCCGAGGCUCAACCUCGGGCCUGCAGUGGGUACGGGCAGACUAGAGUGCGGUAGGGGAGAUUGGAAUUCCCGUGGUGUGAGCUGGAUGAGCGCAGAUAUCAGGAGGAACACCGAUGGCGAAGGCAGAUCUCUGGGCCGUAACUGACGCUGAGGAGCGAAAGCGUGGGGAGCGAACAGG
rnacentral:rRNA from 1 species